AUUGAAUCUUGACCUCUUUUUAUGUGUGCAGGCAAACAUCAUCAUGAACCUGUUUUCUAAUAAUAAUCCAAACAUACAGGAGACUUGGAUUUAUGCAGAGACUUAUCUCAACUAACAGUCUUCGCACAUUUAACUUCCUCUAUUCUGUUGUUGGGGGAUUCCAGCUUCAUCUCCACAAUUCAGAUACAUCUCCACUGCCUUGCGGGUCAGUUUAUUGAGUGUGUUGGCAUCUGCAACCCUUCACCUGCUGUCCUAGCAUGCAACAGCAUAGAGGAUGGCACUGACCACAGCAGACUCAUAGAACAUCCAGAGCAUUGUCCGACAGUCUCAGAAAAUAGAGACGACUCUGGCCUUUCCUGUAAAGUGCAAUGGUGUUUUUAACCUAGUUCAGUUUAUUGUCUAUGUGGUCUACUCCAAGGUAUUUAUAGUCAAUUCCAAUUCAAUUCAAUUUUAUUUAUAUAGCUCCAAAUCACAACAAAAGUCGCCUCAAGGCGCUUCAUAGGUACAGAGAAAAACCCAACAAUCAAAUGACCCCCUAUGAGCAAGCACUUUGGCGACAGUGGGAAGGAAAAUCUCCCUUUUAACAGGAAGAAACCUCCGGCAGAACCAGGCUCAGGGAGGGGCGGCCAUCUGCUGCGACCGGUUGGGGUGAGAGAAGGAAAACAGGAUGAAAGACAUGCUGUCCUCCACAAUGUCCACAUCGACCCCCGGGAUUGAAGCAGCGGUCAAGGGUUUCCUAGUUUUCCUAAAAUCCACAAUCAAUGGAUGUGGAGCUGAUUCAGGCAAUUAGGUUGGAGAUUUAAGCUGCUCGCUGACACUGCUUCCUCGCCAGUUUGUCAACUACCGUAUGUUGGUAACCAGGCCUCACGCUUCAUGCCAGUAAGUCUCAAGUGCUUUACUUGUGAUCUUGUGUUCUAGUUGCUCCCGGGUAUUCCACAACGCUGAACAACUCAUCCUGGAAAUCUGGUUCACCUGCCUGCUUUUGGAAUUAUCUCCUUGCCUCACCUGCCUGCCCUCCGGCCCUUACACUACCACGGAACCUUCACUGCUCAGGACAGCCGACACACACCACCAAACCCACCCGGACCGCACCACCUCUCCAUCAACACUUACAUCACCCACCUGCACAGUAUACAUUUAUACUUUAUUCUUUUUUUUUUUUAUCCCUGAUCUCUUUCUUUCUGAGAUGUGGAGAGGAGAGGUUCAUCUCGUCAUCAUGAAACCUCCAGAGCUCUGCUGCUGUUGUACAUUCUCACCAAAACACUUCUCCCCCAUCUCAGAAUGAAUGACUUCAGAGGUUCAAAGAGGAACAAACAGGUGUCAGACCACUAACACAUCUCAUCUAUGUUCUUAUCGAGCUGCUAACAGACGUCACUGCUGCAGUAUUAUCAUGUUUUUUAAUUGAGGACUAAUUUAAGGGUGUAAAAACAAAUUCUUCACCCUCUUGUUUAAUAAUAAACCAAAUGUACAGAAGAGCUGCAUUAAUGUAAACACUUCUGUCAUCUAACAGCCUUUGCAGAUUUAACUUCCUCUAUUCAGUUGUUGAACUGGAGUUUUUUCUGCUGUUGUACAGUUUUUUAAAGUGACAAGGGAAUCUGCAAAAUGCAUUAAAUAUAAAAGGUAUUGAAUAUCUUAAAAGUUUGUACUCAUUUGAUAUCUACAUUUUAAGAGAGGGGGAGAUACGGCUGCCCAAAUGCUAUGAACUGAAUUAAUUUAGCAAGAGGAGAGUAAAGGAGUGAUGUCACUAUGAGGAAGUGAGCAGGAAGUUGAUGCUGUAUUCAUCUCUGAGACUGUCUCAUUUGUGAACGUGAGAGCAAGAACAGAGACUGAGAGAGACAGAGAAGCACGAUGGCUGCAUUCACAUGGAUUCAAAUGUCUUCAUUACUGAUACUGAUGCUUCAGUUUAAAGGUAAGUGUACAUAGAAACACAUUCAAUUAAUAAACUGCAUUAUUAUCACAAGUGUUACUUCUU
ensembl:lncRNA